UACGAAGGGGGCUAGCGUUGCUCGGAAUUACUGGGCGUAAAGCGCACGUAGGCGGUCUUUUAAGUCGGGGGUGAAAUCCUGGAGCUCAACUCCAGAACUGCCUUUGAUACUGGCGAUCUUGAGUCCGGGAGAGGUGAGUGGAACUGCGAGUGUAGAGGUGAAAUUCGUAGAUAUUCGCAAGAACACCAGUGGCGAAGGCGGCUCACUGGCCCGGUACUGACGCUGAGGUGCGAAAGCGUGGGGAGCAAACAGG
rnacentral:rRNA from 1 species